rnacentral:rRNA from 1 species
UACGGGGGGGGCAAGCGCUGUUCGGAAUUACUGGGCGUAAAGGGCUCGUAGGCGGCCAACUAAGUCAGACGUGAAAUCCCUCGGCUUAACCGGGGAACUGCGUCUGAUACUGGAUGGCUUGAGAUUGGGAGAGGGAUGCGGAAUUCCAGGUGUAGCGGUGAAAUGCGCAGAUAUCGGGAAGAACACCCGUGGCGAAGGCGGCUCUCUGGGACGGUACUGACGCUGAGACGCGAAAGCGUGGGGAGCGAACAGG